UUCGCAAUGCCCGAAAGGGUGACGAAGCGACGCCGCGUGGGUGAGGAAGGCCUUCGGGUUGUAAAGCCCUGUCAGGAGUUAAGAAAUGUAAGUGCGCUAAUAUCGCAUUUAUUUGACGAAGGCUCCAAAGGAAGCCACGGCUAACUCUGUGCCAGCAGCCGCGGUAAUACAGAGGUGGCGAGCGUUGUUCGGAAUUAUUGGGCGUAAAGAGCACGUAGGUGGGUUUGUAAGUCAGAUGUGAAAGCCUUCUGUUCAACGGAAGAAUUGCAUCUGAAACUGCGAGUCUUGAGUGUAGGAGGGGAGAAUGGAACUUCUGGUGGAGCGGUGAAAUGCGUAGAUAUCAGAAGGAACGCCGGCGGCGAAAGCGAUUCUCUGGCCUAUUACUGACACUCAGUGUGCGAAAGCUAGGGGAGCAAACGGGAUUAGAUACCCCGGUAGUCCUAGCCGUAAACGAUGGGCACUAAGUAGAGGGGUUUU
rnacentral:rRNA from 1 species